UUGGUGUUGGGGUCCUACGGCUGCCGUAGGCCCUGAAAGCUAGUGGCGGGCUCGCUAUAACUCCGAGCGUAGUAGUAAAAUAUCUCGCUAGGGAGGUGUCGCGGGUUCCGGCCGUGAAAGCCCAUCUUUUACACAAGGUUGACCUCGGAUCAGGUAGGAAUACCCGCUGAACUUAAGCAUAUCAAUAAGCGGAGGAAAAGAAACCAACAGGGAUUGCCCCAGUAACGGCGAGUGAAGCGGCAACAGCUCAAAUUUGAAAUCUGGCUUCGGCCCGAGUUGUAAUUUGUAGAGGAUGCUUUUGGUGAGGUGCCUUCUGAGUUCCCUGGAACGGGACGCCAGAGAGGGUGAGAGCCCCGUAUAGUUGGACACCGAGCCUCUGUAAAGCUCCUUCGACGAGUCGAGUAGUUUGGGAAUGCUGCUCAAAAUGGGAGGUAUAUCUCUUCUAAAGCUAAAUACUGGCCAGAGACCGAUAGCGCACAAGUAGAGUGAUCGAAAGAUGAAAAGCACUUUGAAAAGAGGGUUAAAUAGUACGUGAAAUUGUUGAAAGGGAAGCGCUUGUGACCAGACUUGUGCCCGGCUGAUCAUCCAGUGUUCUCACUGGUGCACUCUGCCGGGCUCAGGCCAGCGUCGGUUCUCGCAGGGGGACAAAAGCUUCGGGAACGUAGCUCCUCC
rnacentral:rRNA from 1 species